CCUACGGGCGGCAGCAGUGGGGAAUAUUGGACCAUGGGGGGAACCCUGAUCCAGCCAUGCCGCGUGUGUGAAGAAGGCCCUCGGGUUGUAAAGCACUUUCAGUGAGGAAGAACGCCUGGUGGUUAAUACCCAUCAGGAAAGACAUCACUCACAGAAGAAGCACCGGCUAACUCCGUGCCAGCAGCCGCGGUAAUACGGAGGGUGCGAGCGUUAAUCGGAAUUACUGGGCGUAAAGCGCGCGUAGGUGGCUUGAUAAGCCGGUUGUGAAAGCCCCGGGCUCAACCUGGGAACGGCAUCCGGAACUGUUAAGCUAGAGUGCAGGAGAGGAAGGUAGAAUUCCCGGUGUAGCGGUGAAAUGCGUAGAGAUCGGGAGGAAUACCAGUGGCGAAGGCGGCCUUCUGGACUGACACUGACACUGAGGUGCGAAAGCGUGGGUAGCAAACAGGAUUAGAUACCCGGGUAGUC
rnacentral:rRNA from 1 species